UGGGGAAUUUUCCGCAAUGGGCGAAAGCCUGACGGAGCAGUACCGCGUGAGGGAAGACGGCUUUUGGGUUGUAAACCUCUUUUCUCUGGGAAGAAGAUCUGACGGUACCAGAGGAAUCAGCAUCGGCUAACUCCGUGCCAGCAGCCGCGGUAAUACGGAGGAUGCAAGCGUUAUCCGGAAUUAUUGGGCGUAAAGGGUCCGCAGGUGGUUUAUCAAGUCUGUUGUCAAAGCGUGAAGCUUAACUCCAUAUCGGCAAUGGAAACUGAGUAACUAGAGUACAGUAGGGGUUGCGGGAAUUCCCAGUGUAGCGGUGAAAUGCGUAGAUAUUGGGAAGAACACCAGCGGCGAAAGCGCGCAACUGGGCUGAGACUGACACUGAGGGACGAAAGCUAGGGGAGCGAAAGGGAUUAGAUACCCCUGUAGUCCUAGCCGUAAACGAUGGACACUAGGUGUUGCCCGUAUCGACCCGGGCAGUGCCGUAGCCAACGCGUUAAGUGUCCCGCCUGGGGAGUACGCUCGCAAGAGUG
rnacentral:rRNA from 1 species